rnacentral:lncRNA from 1 species
CACAAUUGAAAAAGACAUUAAUUGCUCAUUCUAACCCAACGGCCACAGUGGUUAUAGUCCUUUAUAGGAGGGAAAGAACCCCAACAACCCUAGAAUACAUAGUGUUCCAUUCAAGAGACGCUCAUCUAAUGUCUAACGUCUAACGUCUAACGUCUAACAUCGUUCACCACUGGGAGCUGUGGAUAUAGUGCCGAGGAAACCUGUGUUUGCUCUUAAUGCCUUCAACCGAUUGGAUGAGGCUCAUCCACAUUAUGGAGGAUGAUCAGCUUUACUCAAAGGCGACUGACGGUAAAGAUUAAUCACAUCUAAAAAAUACCUUCAAAGCAACAUCCAGUCUAGUGUUCGAUCAAACAACCAUGCAUCUUAGCCUAGCCAAGUUGCCACAUAAAUGAACAUGCCUGAGAAGACCAGAUUUUGGGUGGCUUUGUUAGCAUUUCUACUGUCCAAGCUUAGUGAUAUAGAUGCUGAACAAUGUGUCACAGGACUAGUAGGGGGUUUCUGGUCGUACAAAAGCCAAGUUGACUUUUCUGGGCUUCUAAGACAUUUUUUAACUUCUUAAUAACCUGUAGCUAUUUUAAACAAAGUCGAGUGCAUACUACUGUCUGCAACUAAGAACCCCAACCAAAAAAAGUGCUUUCAAGUGCCAUGACCUAAAAGAUACAGAACCUAGAAUUGGUUUUCUGACCUGGAUUGAGUCUGAAACAGUAAGGAUCCAGUUAACCUUAGAGGAUGAGAUACUGGUGGUCCAUGAUGGGCAAGGCCACACACUCACUUAAAUUAUACGCCUCACUCACCAUUGUGAAUGAAUUUCUCCAUAAAGCCAAGUCUUUAGCAGACUGAAAUGGCUACUGCGACAGAUCAUUUUCAAAGGCAGGAAGAAAACAAAUAUUGUGAGGUGAGCUGUUUCUAAGUGCAAUAGGUAUCUUAUGGAAAAAAAGAAUUUCAGAUAAUUCCUCAUGAUUGAACAAAAAAAAAAAGUAACAAAAGGAAAGAAGGAAGAGAAGGAAAUCUCUUAUUUUCCAAAAUUACAACACUGAUAUCACCAAAAUUAAGAUACAGAAUUUAAUUUUGAAAUUGCUAAUUUAUAAUGGUUGGUUGGUUCAAUUCACCCUUAUAAAAGUUAGAACAUCAGUUGGGAAAGAUUUUGCAAAAAGUCUGUUCAAUAUAAGCUUGAAUGGAUUCUGAGGCAAAAGAGAAAGAUGUAUAACUAUUGAUGAAUUUAUUUAUAUAGGGUACUUGCCAAAGAUUCUGUACUCUGUGUGCUAGAAAGAGUAGCUAGGACAGGUUCUGUUUGCUUAAUUAGUUGGCCUAUAUUAGGCCUGAAAAGAAGCUUAUACUGAAUGAAAUGUAAAUGACAAAAUCUCUUUGUAGAAGAAUGCAGAGGAAGGAAUACAAUAGCUUCAAGAGAUAGGAAUUUAUUAUGUGCAUCCCACGCAUCUACCCUCAGAUACAAUCCUCAGGACCUCCCAAGGGUACUAUUCUCCAAGGCACUUGGGAGAGCACCAGCAUCUUUGAGAAGUGCUGUGGCAGUUAUCCUUUGUAGGCUGGGAUGAAGCUAUUGAAGUGGAUUUUCUAAUUUCACAGUGGAAGAGCCUAAAUAACAGUAUUCCGCUGCCAGGCAAGAUGGCAUGGUUGUAAUGAUGAGCAGCAGAGAAAGAACGAUAAUCAAAAUAUUUUGGUGCACCUAGGUCUUUGUUGACCUCCAAUUUAUCAUGGAGUUUUGGUGCAAAAAUAAAUGGGCACGUCCCUAAACUCCUGCUUGAUUUCUGUAAGUACCUCCUUCAAGUAAAAAACAAAAAAGAAAGAAAGAAAGAAAAGAAAAGAAAGAUAAACUACUUUAGGUCUAGCAAAAAUAUAGGCCUGAAUUGAGCUGCAAAAUAGUCAAUUUUACCACCUACUCAAUUGCCAGACUUGAGUAAGUUUAGUGGUACAGCACUGCUUGACAGAACGCAAAGCCACUUCUGUUUGAGGAAGAUGUUUGAAGCAUCACAAGUCUUUAAAAUAAGAUUUCUUCCUAGACUUCCUUAAAAGAACCUAUGACCACUCACCAAAGUAAUUGUGUAGUGGAAAAGAGAUAUAACUAGAAUUUUUUUGAUUAUUGGACAAUGGACACUGAGUUAUUGCUAAUUUCAGAAGAGUCAUUUUUCCCUUGCUCAGGGAGAGCUAAUGUGAGUAAGGUAACAAAUGAAGUUCAGUCCUACUUAAAAGAUGCAGGAAUUUUGAUCUAUCUUUCCUAAUUCUAGUCACCUGCUUUCCUAUAUGGGAGACAGAUUGGUCUUAAAGAAUGAUAGUAGAUUACUAUAAAAUGAUGCAUUUAACAUCUUAUGUGCUGUAUGACUUGUUAAUGAGACAAAUAAGCAUCACCAUGGCAUUUUGGCACUUGAUAUACAGUUACUGAUUUGGCCAAUUUUAUAUCCAAUAAGUCAAGAACUCUAGAGAGAAUUUAUUUCACUUGGCUGGGCAAAUACUAAGCCUUCAGUAUCUAACUUUAGAUAUAUGUCAUUUCUCUACUGCUGGGCCAUAAUUUCAUCUGCAGACAACUUCAUCAUUUCAGCGUCCCCCAGAAUGUCAAACCAGUCCUUUCCAUUGAUGACACACGUGAGUAGAAUCUGGGGAGCAGGAAACAGCAGGCAUCUAGAUGCUUUCAUAGGCACAUACUGCUGGAGAGUGGGGGAUAAACUCUAAGGAAAUUCAGAGUAUCAAAAGCACAGCAAAUUUUCCAAGAAUAAAAUGAUCUGGAGCACAUGGAAUUUUGUUUUCAAAGUAAAACCACUGCAUUUUUCUCUGUGUAAUCUUAGAAAAGAAAGUUAAUUUGAAUUUUGGAGUCAAGAUAUACGAUAUUUGGCAUAAGUGAAAUCUCAACCUAUUUACUGGAUAAUUAGGCUAUCAGCUUUUAAUUGGGCCUAAACACAAACGAAGACUUUCUAGCUUAUUCAGGCUGCAGUAUAAGCAGUUUUGCCACUUAGCCCUUAUGACCCAACAGAUUUAGUGAUGUUUGACAGGCCUGUUACUGAGUGGGACACUGAAAGGAAGCAGUGAUGAGCCCCAAUAAGAGAAUCUUAGUGCUAGCCCCUAGGUUGUGGAGCAAAACUAUGGUAAGUACUACACUGUUUUGAGAAAUAGCUCUUGCCUCUGUUAGAUACACUAAGGCCAGUCAUAAAACACUGAGAAAUCGUGUGACCUGAGCUUCCCGUUAUAGUCUGUUAUUUAAUCCACAAAACCAUAAUUUUGGGCAAACUUGGAACUGCUAUAGAUGAGGAUGAACUCAAGAAGAUAUUGAAGAUAUUAGAAAGGCUAAUGAACAGGUGGUCACUUUUUCAAUGUGCCAACUCCUGCUGCAUUGCCAUCUCUUCCCCAACCUAUACUUACAGCUUCAGGGAGUUCAUUCCCUCUGUCUACUAACUGAGGAUGAUACACUUGAAACCUAGUUGUAGAUAGCUCUGUAGGAUAUUCUAACACCGAGUAUGAGUGGAAUGGUCUAGAAAUACAAUUCGCUAUUGGCCCUAGACAGUGCAGUAGAGAAAUCCUCCCAGUAGGCAAACCUUGGAGAAGCACAGAUGAUUUUUCCACGUUGAUUGGAAGGACUGAUGAGCAGGGUGUGAUUCUAUUUAAAUUCAGCUAGUUUUUGGGGAGAUGAUCAGGGAUUUGGGAGGAUAUAUUUGGAAGAUUAAUGACAAUGUUUCAGGGAAAAUUGUGUAAAUAGGUCUCAAAUUUGAAAUAUUUGGCCCCCAUGUGAAUGAUCAGCAGAUGACCCUGUCUGCAGAGGAAUCUCUCAGUAAUCAGCUGAUAGAUUCACUUUUUGGUCAGGCAGUCUCUUUCUGCACUCACUCCAGUUCUUAGUCUAGGUGAUCAUGAACAGAUUGCCAUUAUGGCCAGGACAAAGUAUACAGAUGUGCUUAGGAACGUGGAACUUCUCUCCACAAGACUGUCCUUGAUAUUACUAUGUCAGAACAGGGACAUACACAGAACUCCUGAUAUAGCAUGACAAUUUGGAGGGACCAACCAAGAACUUGGGAGAAGAUCAGUUAUGUUGGACCCUUUCAUUUUGAAAGGACAAUGAUUUUUCCUCAUUGGAAUUAACUCUUAUUCUGGAUAUUGAUUUUUCCUUACUUGCUUCUACCAGCAAUAUAAGCAGAAUACAUGGGUCUGGAAACCAAGGGGUGAAAGAGAGAGUAGUAUUUCGUGAUAGCACUAAAAUGACCUACUCCUCAAAUUUUUGCUUCUUAUUCCUGUGGCUUUAUUGAGUGCUGAUUUAGAAGUCUUAGAAGACAAGGGAUCAAUACUUCCAACAAUGGAUGCAUUGUUGCCAUUGAGCAGGUGGUUGAAAAAAAUCAACCAGCCAUUUUUGGCUUUCACACCAUUAGAUGGUUAGACCAACAGGCACACGUCUUGUCUUAGUUAGCAAGUGAUGCUGCCUGAAAGCAAAUGCUCCGUAACCCACCUGAGUUCCCUUGGACAAAUAUCUGGUUGUCACUGAAUACACGGGUGCAGAUGCCUUUUAAAUCCAGAUGAGUUUGAAGAACUAGACUGGACAAGAUAGAUUUUCUUAAUAACCAAAAGUGACCAGGAAAAUAUGGAAUAUGUCUGUGAUGUUGUUAAGAGGCAUGAAAAGAAGAUGUGACAUAGUGUAAUUGGAAGUCAAUAAUUAAAGAAAAACUGUUUUAAUGUUAAUACCCCUCCAAGUUCACACCAUUUGAUGAUCCAGUGACAUUGACCAAAUGGUGAAACAAAAGUAUUAGUGGAAUAAUCAAAAUGAUUUGAGGUACAGAAUAAGAAAAGUUUGAUUUUGCUCGUUGGGUCUAAGGAAGUUUUUAGCAAAGGGUUGAUACCAGAAUUAAGUCUUGAAGGAUGAUGAGGAAAUUCCAGUGAAUAAGAAUACAGACAAGCAUGCCAGUCAGAUGGCACGCCAGAUGCAUUAAAGCUGAUAUUUUGUGGUUUGGCUAAAACACAUGAGACAAAGGAAACAAGAUGGAAAGGGUGAGCAGGGUGAUGGUGAGUUCUCAAAUUCUCUUGGAAACAGCAUGAUCAAGUGCGUAUUUUUGAGAGGUAGCUGUGGUGAUGGAAUGGAGUUUGCCUUUGAUGGGAAGAGACUAGAACAGGGAGAUCAUUUAGGAUGCAGUGAUAGAUUAUGAGAACUUAAAUUGAGAUCAGUUGAAAAAGGUGGAGGAUGGGCGGUUAUACAAGAUUUUCAGUGAAGAAGUGUUAGGACUUGAAGACAGGACUAGAUUGUGUGGAAGGAGGUGUACUGAAGAUGAUAAUGAGGUUUCUACUUUGGAAUGGAUCGAUGGUGAGAAAUCUUUUAUAGGUGCAUACAUUGGACAUGAAUACAGAUAAAUAUUAAGAUGGAAAAUUACUGAUUUUCCCCCUUCAUCCCUUUUCCUGUCUUUUCUUCCUUCCCUCCUCUCUUUUUCACCGUUAUGUCUUGCAUAACUUUUAGCCUUUCUGUUUGCAUUUUACUUUCCACGUGAUCUCAGAACAGGAAUUUCAAGUGUUUUAUAGUUAAAGUUGUUCUCUGUGUUGUUCUAACAUUUCUAAUGCUCGAUUAUUA